UACGGGGGGGGCAAGCGUUGUUCGGAAUUACUGGGCGUAAAGGGCUCGUAGGCGGCCAACUAAGUCAAACGUGAAAUCCCCAGGCUCAACCUGGGAACUGCGUCUGAUACUGGUUGGCUUGAAUCCGGGAGAGGGAUGCAGUAUUCCAGGUGUAGCGGUGAAAUGCGUAGAUAUCUGGAGGAAUACCGGUGGCGAAGGCGGCAUCCUGGACCGGCAUUGACGCUGAGGAGCGAAAGCCAGGGGAGCAAACGGG
rnacentral:rRNA from 1 species